rnacentral:rRNA from 1 species
UACGGAAGGUUCGGGCGUUAUCCGGAUUUAUUGGGUUUAAAGGGAGCGUAGGCCGUUUGGUAAGCGUGUUGUGAAAUGUAGGAGCUCAACUUCUAGAUUGCAGCGCGAACUGUCAGACUUGAGUGCGCACAACGUAGGCGGAAUUCAUGGUGUAGCGGUGAAAUGCUUAGAUAUCAUGAAGAACUCCGAUUGCGAAGGCAGCUUACGGGAGCGCAACUGACGCUGAAGCUCGAAGGUGCGGGUAUCGAACAGGAUUAGAUACCCUGAUAGUCCGCACAGUAAACGAUGGAUGCCCGCUGUUAGCACCUAGUGUUAGCGGCUAAGCGAAAGCAUUAAGCAUCCCACCUGGGGAGUACGCCGGCAACGGUGAA